AUGAGGUUCCCUGCUCAGUUUCUGGUUCUGCUGAUACUAUGCAUCCCAGGGUCCAGAAGUGAUAUUGUGAUGACUCAGAGUCCACUCUCCCUGUCCAUCGUCAAGGGACUUCCAACCUCCAUCUCCUGCAGGUCUAGCGAGAGCCUCCUACAUAGUAAUGGAAAAACCUAUCUGUACUGGUUCCAUCAGAAGCCAGGCCAACCUCCAAAGCGCCUGUUUUAUUAUGUUUCUAAUAGAGACCCUGGGGUCCCAGACAGGUUCAGUGCCAGUGGGUCAGGGACAGACUUCACUCUUCAGAUUAGCAGCGUGCAGCCUGAGGAUGUUGGCAUUUACUACUGCUAUCAAGAUUUAAAGAAUCCUCCCACAGUGAUACAGCCCCGAACAUAA